rnacentral:siRNA from 1 species
GAUCCGGUUGUGCUUUCCCAGAAG